rnacentral:rRNA from 1 species
UGGGGAAUAUUGCACAAUGGGCGCAAGCCUGAUGCAGCAACGCCGCGUGAGGGACGACGGCCUUCGGGUUGUAAACCUCUUUUAGUAGGGAAGAAGCGAAAGUGACGGUACCUGCAGAAAAAGCACCGGCUAACUACGUGCCAGCAGCCGCGGUAAUACGUAGGGUGCGAGCGUUGUCCGGAAUUAUUGGGCGUAAAGAGCUCGUAGGCGGUCUGUCGCGUCUGCUGUGAAAACCCGAGGCUCAACCUCGGGCCUGCAGUGGGUACGGGCAGACUAGAGUGCGGUAGGGGAGAAUGGAAUUCCUGGUGUAGCGGUGGAAUGCGCAGAUAUCAGGAGGAACACCGAUGGCGAAGGCAGUUCUCUGGGCCGUAACUGACGCUGAGGAGCGAAAGCGUGGGGAGCGAACAGGAUUAGAUACCCUGGUAGUCCACGCCGUAAACGUUGGGCGCUAGAUGUGGGGACCAUUCCACGGCUUCCGUGUCGCAGCUAACGCAUUAAGCGCCCCGCCUGGGGAGUACGGCCGCAAGGC